CUUGACGGAAACGGGAAGAAGUGGAACCAUGAAUAACAUAGGACCUUCUGACUGCUAAUUUGAACUCCACAAGCUUCUUCCUGUUGAUAUGGCACCCUCAGCGAAACUGCGGAUAAUUUUUGGGGAGGAUGAUGUCCACAAACUACUUUUA